rnacentral:rRNA from 1 species
GACGAACGCUGGCGGCGUGCUUAACACAUGCAAGUCGAACGGAAAGGCCCUGCUUUUGUGGGGUGCUCGAGUGGCGAACGGGUGAGUAACACGUGAGUAACCUGCCCUUGACUUUGGGAUAACUUCAGGAAACUGGGGCUAAUACCGGAUAGGAGCUCCUGCUGCAGGGUGGGGGUUGGAAAGUUUCGGCGGUUGGUGAUGGACUCGCGGCUUAUCAGCUUGUUGGUGGGGUAGUGGCUUACCAAGGCUUUGACGGGUAGCCGGCCUGAGAGGGUGACCGGACACAUUGGGACUGAGAUACGGCACAGACUACUACGGGAGGCAGCAGAGGGGAAGAUUGUACAAUGGGCGGAAGCCUGAUGCAGCAACGCAGCGUGGGGGAUGACAGCAAUGGGGUUGUAAACCGCUUUCGCCUGUGACGAAGCGUGAGUGACGGUAAUGGGUAAAGAAGCACCGGCUAACUACGUG